rnacentral:lncRNA from 1 species
AGCGAAUUGCCAAACUACCAUACACAAUCCGGCUGCAACACUUUCACACUUGCACGCAACAGAGAGACGUCCAGACUUUCGCAGUUAGACUACAGUCUCUUGUGGCGGAGACACAGAUAGAAAUAGCAAGCGCCAGCGAACAAAAACAAGUGGUGAUAGAACAAUGACAAAAAAGGAAAUGGACAAGUGGUUGCGAAUACAAUUUCUCAAUGGGAUUAAUGACAGGAUCAAGCAGACUGUUAUGUCCCAGGAUCCAAAAACUUUUGAAGAAGCACUGCUAAUAGCCACGUGUGAAGAAUUAAUCAAGCAAGUAGUUGGCAAGCUGUGUCCAUACAUAGGCAAGAUUGAAGAAGUCAGUGAGUUCAACAUUGCCACAGUGGCAGUAGACCCAGUUGGGCAAGUUGAGUGCGAGACCGAAAAUUUACAGUUGGUGAUAAAGCAAAUUAAUGAAUGGCUU